rnacentral:rRNA from 1 species
UUAAGUUAGAAAGGGCGCACGGUGGAUGCCUUGACACUAGGAGUCGAUGAAGGACGGGACUAACGCCGAUAUGCUUCGGGGAGCUGUAAGUAAGCUUUGAUCCGAAGAUUUCCGAAUGGGGAAACCCACCAUACGUAAUGGUAUGGUAUCCUUAUCUGAAUACAUAGGGUAAGGAAGACAGACCCAGGGAACUGAAACAUCUAAGUACCUGGAGGAAGAGAAAGCAAAUGCGAUUUCCUGAGUAGCGGCGAGCGAAACGGAACAUAGCCCAAACCAAGAGGCUUGCCUCUUGGGGUUGUAGGACAUUCUAUACGGAGUUACAAAGGAACGAGGUAGACGAAGCGACCUGGAAAGGUCCGUCGUAGAGGGUAACAACCCCGUAGUCGAAACUUCGUUCUCUCUUGAAUGUAUCCUGAGUACGGCGGAACACGUGAAAUUCCGUCGGAAUCUGGGAGGACCAUCUCCCAAGGCUAAAUACUCCCUAGUGAUCGAUAGUGAACCAGUACCGUGAGGGAAAGGUGAAAAGCACCCCGGAAGGGGAGUGAAAGAGAUCCUGAAACCGUGUGCCUACAAAUAGUCAGAGCCCGUUAACGGGUGAUGGCGUGCCUUUUGUAGAAUGAACCGGCGAGUUACGAUCCCGUGCGAGGUUAAGCUGAAGAGGCGGAGCCGCAGCGAAAGCGAGUCUGAAUAGGGCGUUUAGUACGUGGUCGUAGACCCGAAACCAGGUGAUCUACCCAUGUCCAGGGUGAAGUUCAGGUAACACUGAAUGGAGGCCCGAACCCACGCACGUUGAAAAGUGCGGGGAUGAGGUGUGGGUAGCGGAGAAAUUCCAAUCGAACCUGGAGAUAGCUGGUUCUCCCCGAAAUAGCUUUAGGGCUAGCCUUAAGUGUAAGAGUCUUGGAGGUAGAGCACUGAUUGGACUAGGGGUCCUCAUCGGAUUACCGAAUUCAGUCAAACUCCGAAUGCCAAUGACUUAUCCUUAGGAGUCAGACUGCGAGUGAUAAGAUCCGUAGUCAAAAGGGAAACAGCCCAGACCGCCAGCUAAGGUCCCAAAGUGUGUAUUAAGUGGAAAAGGAUGUGGAGUUGCUUAGACAACUAGGAUGUUGGCUUAGAAGCAGCCACCAUUUAAAGAGUGCGUAAUAGCUCACUAGUCGAGUGACUCUGCGCCGAAAAUGUACCGGGGCUAAAUACACCACCGAAGCUGCGGAUUGAUACCAAUGGUAUCAGUGGUAGGGGAGCGUUCUAAGGACAGUGAAGUCAGACCGGAAGGACUGGUGGAGUGCUUAGAAGUGAGAAUGCCGGUAUGAGUAGCGAAAGACGGGUGAGAAUCCCGUCCACCGAAUGCCUAAGGUUUCCUGAGGAAGGCUCGUCCGCUCAGGGUUAGUCAGGACCUAAGCCGAGGCCGACAGGCGUAGGCGAUGGACAACAGGUUGAUAUUCCUGUACCACCUCUUUAUCGUUUGAGCAAUGGAGGGACGCAGAAGGAUAGAAGAAGCGUGCGAUUGGUUGUGCACGUCCAAGCAGUUAGGCUGAUAAGUAGGCAAAUCCGCUUAUCGUAAAGGCUGAGCUGUGAUGGGGAAGCUCCUUAUGGAGCGAAGUCUUUGAUUCCCCGCUGCCAAGAAAAGCUUCUAGCGAGAUAAAAGGUGCCUGUACCGCAAACCGACACAGGUAGGCGAGGAGAGAAUCCUAAGGUGUGCGAGAGAACUCUGGUUAAGGAACUCGGCAAAAUGACCCCGUAACUUCGGGAGAAGGGGUGCUUUCUUAACGGAAAGCCGCAGUGAAUAGGCCCAAGCGACUGUUUAGCAAAAACACAGCUCUCUGCGAAGCCGUAAGGCGAAGUAUAGGGGGUGACACCUGCCCGGUGCUGGAAGGUUAAGGAGAGGGGUUAGCGUAAGCGAAGCUCUGAACUGAAGCCCCAGUAAACGGCGGCCGUAACUAUAACGGUCCUAAGGUAGCGAAAUUCCUUGUCGGGUAAGUUCCGACCCGCACGAAAGGUGUAACGAUUUGGGCACUGUCUCAACCAGAGACUCGGUGAAAUUAUAGUACCUGUGAAGAUGCAGGUUACCCGCGACAGGACGGAAAGACCCCGUGGAGCUUUACUGUAGCCUGAUAUUGAAUUUUGGUACAGUUUGUACAGGAUAGGCGGGAGCCUUUGAAAUCGGAGCGCUAGCUUCGGUGGAGGCGCUGGUGGGAUACCGCCCUGACUGUAUUGAAAUUCUAACCUACGGGUCUUAUCGACCCGGGAGACAGUGUCAGGUGGGCAGUUUGACUGGGGCGGUCGCCUCCUAAAGUGUAACGGAGGCGCCCAAAGGUUCCCUCAGAAUGGUUGGAAAUCAUUCGUAGAGUGCAAAGGCAUAAGGGAGCUUGACUGCGAGACCUACAAGUCGAGCAGGGACGAAAGUCGGGCUUAGUGAUCCGGUGGUUCCGCAUGGAAGGGCCAUCGCUCAACGGAUAAAAGCUACCCCGGGGAUAACAGGCUUAUCUCCCCCAAGAGUCCACAUCGACGGGGAGGUUUGGCACCUCGAUGUCGGCUCAUCGCAUCCUGGGGCUGUAGUCGGUCCCAAGGGUUGGGCUGUUCGCCCAUUAAAGCGGUACGCGAGCUGGGUUCAGAACGUCGUGAGACAGUUCGGUCCCUAUCCGUCGUGGGCGUAGGAAAUUUGAGAGGAGCUGUCCUUAGUACGAGAGGACCGGGAUGGACGCACCGCUGGUGUACCAGUUGUUCUGCCAAGGGCAUAGCUGGGUAGCUAUGUGCGGAAGGGAUAAGUGCUGAAAGCAUCUAAGCAUGAAGCCCCCCUCAAGAUGAGAUUUCCCAUAGCGUAAGCUAGUAAGAUCCCUGAAAGAUGAUCAGGUUGAUAGGUUCGAGGUGGAAGCAUGGUGACAUGUGGAGCUGACGAAUACUAAUAGAUCGAGGACUUAACCAU